UAAGGGCAAAAUAGUAAUUUUAUAUGGAAAUAUUUACAUAAGAUAAAAAAUAUGCAUUUAUUAAGAGAAAUUGUCUCACAAUCACUUUUUUCAUACACGUAAGUGAAAUCAUGAUGUUUUUUGGAUAGUUUAAAUGAACUAAAGCCGUUGCGUUUGAGGAGAACGUGGAAGGAGAUGAGCGGUUGUUCACACAUACAAAGUGUGUGCUCAUCUCCUAAUCUCUAUAAAAUGAAGCUCAAACCAGCAGCUGUAUUGCACCUCCCAGUUAGGUCUCUUGCUCAAAAGACCACGUUCUUCUCCCUCCCUUCUUCCGCUUUGACAUGGGAUGAUGACUUAUGUGAGAUUUUUGCAGAAAAUAAAGAAAUCUAGAACAAGUCAACAAAUAUAUAUGAUCGAGGAUCGCCUGAUGUGUUGAUGUGUUUUGAUAUGGGUGAGUGGAUUCCAUGCUAAUGCUUGUCAAGUGAGCAGUCCCGUUGCAAAUAAUUUAGUUUCGUUGUCUGUUCGACCUGAAACCUAAGGUAAAGGUUAGGCAUAGUACCCUUGAAAACCCUAAUUAGAAAGUAAUCAUGUUUUUCUCUUUCUAAAUUAAUCAACUUGAUUGAUCAUCUAAGAAGUUAAACAAGGCAGCUUAUUAGUAGAUAACUAGCUAUUUAUCUUGUGGCAUCUUGGAGUAUGACCUAGUCGAUCGAGAUCGACUGCAGUAACCUAUAAAUUUGUUGAGUUAUGCAUAAAACAGUCACUAAACUAGAAGGGAAAAAAAAGAGCAAAAACUCCCAAGCUAAUCCAGUUUAUGUAUAUGCAUUUAUCAGAUUCAUUUGGGAAGUGGUUUAGGUAUCUUUUGGCUUUCCUUCUUUUCCUUUUGAAAUAUGAAGAAGAAAGAAAUUGAAAGAAAUAGUAAUAGGCUGGCUAUAAGUUGCUAAGUACCACUUUUGUGGUAAUUUAACAUCAUAAUUUUGAUAAUCGUUGGAAUUUUACCCUAGUUUUUGCGGCUGCGGCCACCAAUUUUAUAUUUUCAGGUGUAUGUCGGUUAUACUAAUUGAAUUGGAUUUGAAACUAAUCUAGUUACCAAAUUAGAUUAAGUUACUUACACUAAAGUAGUAUUUCCUUGAUUUCUAACUGUAAAAUGUAAUUAGCAUGAGCCGUAUAAGCAAGUCCUUAAUUAAUUAGAAAAAUAAUGUGGUUUAGGGUUUACCUAGUCGUGACUAGCUAGCCUGCUACCAUAGAAUGUUCAUAGGUCGAAGAGACAGCGAGCCUGAUGUAUAAGCAAGAGACUGUUCAUUUGACAAGGGUUUGCAUGGAAUUCAACAUCUUGAUUCUUGACUUUAUGUUUGCAUAUGAAGUUUAUUAGGAAGUGGAUCAACUUUCAUCAGAAAGGUGAUUAAAACCAGGUAAUUCACUUAGUCUCUCUUAGCCUCUAAUCUAGUCAACUUUUCUUUCUUUCUUCAAAUUAAUAUAUUUGAUAUUCUUGACAAAUUUCAACAUGUGAUUUGUGAUGAUGCAUGGAGGCUCAACUCCCAGUGAAGGGACGAUUGAGGAUCAUGAUCAGUUGCUACGUAGUGGCUCGAUUUGAUACGAAUGCCAAGAUUUGGAGUGAACAGCAAAGGGUCAAUGGUACACUACUAUAUAAUUACAUUGACAUUAUUUCCCAGCUUGCACCAUAUAUUAUUUGCAUAACACGAUAAAUACUAUGGAGUUUGUAUCAGUAUCUGUAAAUGCCUCGGUGUAAUUAGAUGUGAAACAACUAAACAUAAGUCAUUCGAUUUUGUCAAUAUUCUAAUGUGAAAUUCUUGUAUUUUUAUUUUGUUACCCGUAUAUAAUAUGAAAUUCAUAAACCUUUUUUAUGCUAACCAAAUUUAUAUGGUUUUGAAAAUUAAUCAUAGUAUUCAUCAAAAUUUAUCAUUAUCUGCACAUAUAUAAUUCAUUUCCCUGUAUAUCCUUCCGAUACAAAGUAAGAUUCUGAACUCUGGAUUUCUAUUUUAAUACUUUAGUAGAUAAAGUGUUGAUUUUCUAUCCAUGUGUUCCGGGUUUGAAACUUCCUCGCUCUCCUAAAUUAAUGUAAUAGUUUCGAACCCUCUUCAUCCACUUAAUAAUUGUAAUUUAAAAAAAAAAAAAAAAAACUCUUGAUCUCUAGUCUAAUUUUAUCCAUCUCCCUACCCAUACUCACCACUGGACUGGCCGCAGUUUUAGAUUCAUUUGUUUCUCAAAUGAUCUGAUUCACUUUUUAUAACAAAUUAGUAUAUUUGUUAUCUGGUUUUUUUUUUUUUUUUUCGAAACACAUGGAUUAAAAAGGGACAAUUGAUGGCAAGUCACGGUUAUCCAUCAUUUUCGGGAGUAUUUGUUAUCUGGUUUACCAAUUAAAUUAUCUGAUUUGAACUUUCUUUCUUUUUUGGGGGGUGAACAAAGUGAAGUGGGUUUAAACUUGGUUUCCAAUCAAUAAAGGUUUGUGGAUGCCCCUUCAUCCCCAAAUAUAAAAAAAACACAAGUACUCUACUUCUUCCAGCUGGUUGUUUUGCAGUAACCAAUUUUCCUAUUAAAUUAAAGAGUCAUGGUCUCUCAAAUGAGAACUUGUGAAGAUCAAAUGCAAAUUAGCCACAAAAUUAGAUUAGUUUAUAGACUUAAAAUAUUUGAUAACUUAAUAAAACAAAUCAAUAAAACGAGUUUUCUAAAGGUUCAUGGAUUUAAAUUGAUUAUUCUUUAUUAAGUUGUCAAAUACUUUAGAUCUUAACCUAAUACAAUCUUGUGUCUAAUAUGCAUCUCAUCCUCACAUAUCCUCAAAAUUUAAAGUCAUACUUACUACAGGGAGCUGCCAUUUCCAUCUUCAAAUGUGGUUGUGUACUUGAUAUGAUUUUGGAGGAAAAUCUUUUGCUUCAACAAUAUUCUAUUAAUGAGUUAUUUUUUCACUACCAUAAAUUAUGAUGUAUGCUUACUAUACACCUAAUCAUCUAUUACGUGUCUUUUCACCGAACUUUGAUUAACUUUCACAUUAAAUGUUAUCUUUUCAAUUUUGAAAAAAAUUAAACCAAGGUUAAGUGAAAUGACAUUUGAAAGAUUUUUAGAUAUAUAUUGAGCAUACACCAUAAUUUAUAGUGUUGAGGAAAAAUACUCUAAACGAUUCAUCUUUCAAGGAAUUUUGCAAGAUUACUUUGAGUAAUGACCUAAAAGGUUAUGGACUCAAAUUAAACAAAGUGAAUAGUGUCAUAUGCCGUAUUAAGUUACUAAACUACUUUAAAUGGUAUGUCUAGUAGCGUGGGUGGGGAUCGAACCACGACUUGUGAAAAGAUUUUGAAAGCUAUGUUUCCAAAAAAAUAUAUAACUCGUAGUGCCAUCCUAGAAUGUCAUUACGCUUUGUUUUGGGCCAACUAUAACAAUUAUGUUCCUUAUUUCCGGAAAUUUAAUUACCAAGAAACUUAAACGGUAAGAUGUAAGGUUUGCGUGCACUUUUUUGAUGUUCUAAUGUUUGUUAUGAGGGAGGGUUAGCUCUUUUUUACUCGAGCACUUGGCUGAUAUGGCCUAUGUUAUGUGAGGCUACAGAGCUAUUUGCAGUUAGUUUAGUUAGUUGGUUCAAGGGAAAUAACUAAUUUGCGUCAUCGAGUGCAGACUGCAAUGCAGUUAUUAUGGGAAGCUAUCAUCUCGUGCCAUGUGAAACUAAGUGUAUCUUUUCAUAAAUGGUACCCCUUACCAUCGUUGGUUGUAUAAGAUACGGUUGUUUCUAAGCAGCUGAUCUGCUUACUUUUGUCCAUAUCGAAGCAAGUUAAGAGCAUGAUGUUAAACCAUGGGCCGUUGCAACCUUAAAUUUCAUAGUUGACACUUUAUUUCAUUGUAACUCCGUAUCGGCCUAUCCGGAGUUUCACUCAAGCAGAGAAGAGACAAUCACACUUAUUGUCCAUAGAAUCUAGCAAUCGUAUGUUUUUGGUGGAGAUAAGUUACGAAGAUUUUGAUACUAGGUCUCGGUUAGGCGGGCCACAUGUGUUGUAAUCUUUGCCUUAUGGUUCACAUUGCUAGAGUUAAUUUCUGUCCACAAUGUAUGCUUAAUAAUUUAUGUAAUCAAGCUUGUCUUGAUGAAUUCAUGGUUAUCUCAGUAAGAAGGACUGAACAUAUGAUCCGUUUUGUCAUCUCCAGCUUCAAUGUUUUCAUCCCAAAGGUCUAAGCACUGAUAAUUUUUUCUGUUCACAGCUACAAAGGGAUCACGAAUUAAGAAGAUGGAUUAAAUUUGGCUUUGUAGUAGGAUGAGUCUUUUUUGGUUUUCUUUGCAGUUGUCCAUUGUGCUUCAGAUUAUUAAGGUCCCUUUGAACUGUAUUCUCGAAAAGUGAUUAAGUUGUAACAAGCCGGAUUUAAUUGUUCGGUCUUUCAGUUUGAUUCUUAAUUGUCAUAAGGCCCGGAGAUGUAGGGUAAGUAGGCUGCAACUUGAUUUUUCAUUGUUUAGUACUUUCGAUCAUCAUCUUUUACAGAAACUGAAACCGCGAUGGAUUGUAGAACAAUUACUUGUCUUUUACUUUUCAACUCAUCUCUGAGAUGUGAUGUUAUCUUUGCACUUGAGAAGUGAGGGAAAAGAAAAAGUAGAGGCUCUGAAAGCCUUCGGAGUUUCACAAAGAGAUGUGAUGACCCUUCUUCCAAUAGAACCUGCGGACGCACGCGUUGUCAAUCCCGAGAUCAGGAAGAAGAUUUUUGAAAAGUUAGAGAAGAUAAGGGAGCACUAAGCACUUUGGUUUGUCAAAGCCAAAAACCAAUGACGGGAAAGAGGCGUAUCCAUCACCGCCAUCGCCGGAGGAGAAAAAGCCUCAGACAUUGCUACCACCUGUUGAAGUAAUUCUCCCUUGAAAUGAGUAAUUGUCGAUUCAGAUAAAUGGUCAUCCCACUGUUGGGGUUGAUCAAACUUUUUUUUGGGUUCGGACUUUUGCUCUGUUAGUUGAGAACUCUAUGAACCUAUGAGUAAUAAACCUAUGAGUGCGUGAUCAUUUUUGCUCCUUA